rnacentral:sRNA from 1 species
UUUGUGAGCAUAAAAACGUAUCGAGUUG